rnacentral:rRNA from 1 species
AGCAGUCGCCACGGUAAUACGGAGGAUCCAAGCGUUAUCCGGAAUCAUUGGGUUUAAAGGGUCCGUAGGCGGUCUUGUAAGUCAGUGGUGAAAGCCCAUCGCUCAACGGUGGAACGGCCAUUGAUACUGCAGGACUUGAAUUAUUGGGAAGUAACUAGAAUAUGUAGUGUAGCGGUGAAAUGCUUAGAGAUUACAUGGAAUACCAAUUGCGAAGGCAGGUUACUACCAAUUGAUUGACGCUGAUGGACGAAAGCGUGGGUAGCGAACAGGAUUAGAUACCCCUGUAGUCCCUGUCUCUUAUAU